GAUGCCAGGGUCAAAAGGUCAAAAAGCCGUUCAUGCUUGCAUGAUAAGGCUUUUGAACUUGGGACCCGCCAAACAUGAGGAAGGAGUGAUUUGUGUAGCAAAUCAACGGAUUCCGAAUGUUUGCAGAAUUGCGGGAGCAACUUGCUGCGGAGCAAUUCGUGGGCAUC
rnacentral:sRNA from 1 species